AAAAUGUUUAACGCCCUUAGUCCCUAUAGUCACUUUUCCUAACAAUUGUCCAAAUUUCAAAUGGUUAAGAAAAGUGGCUAUAGGGACUCAAGGCGUUAAACAUUUUGAU
rnacentral:pre_miRNA from 2 species